GUUUAGUAGCCUUGAAAAAUAUGCACAGGAUAUUUUAGCCCCGGAAGGGAAACUUUGCAUAUCUUAAAAGUCAAACAAAAGUACAAUUCUCGUAAAUGUCUGCCUGGAAGAGACUUCAAGACACCUGUGAGUGGAAGGAAAGUCAGCGAAUUUGUCUGACCACCUCAUAAAAGAAUACAAAACAGGCACACAUACCAAAAACAAUCUUGGAGACCACUACCCUAGAAGUCUUUGAGGCCUUCUUCAAGCACGAUAUAAGCC
rnacentral:lncRNA from 1 species